rnacentral:rRNA from 1 species
GACGAACGCUGGCGGCGUGCCUAAUACAUGCAAGUCGAACGCAGUGGGGACGGGUGAGUAACACGUGGGUAACCUCCCAUCAGAGGGGAUAACCCUUGGAAACAGGUGCUAAACCUCUAAUGCUUGAUGGACCCGCGGUGCAUUAGCUAGUCGGUGAGGUAACGGCUCACCAAGGCAACGAUGCGUAGCCGGUCUGAGAGGGUGAUCGGCCACACUGGGACGGAGACACGGCCCAGACUCCUACGGGAGGCAGCAGUAGGGAAUCUUCGGCAAUGGACGAAAGUCUGACCGAGCAACGCCGCGUGAGUGAAGAAGGUUUUCGGAUCGUAAAACUCUGUUGUUAGAGAAGCGGUAUCUAACCAGAAAGCCACGGCUAACUACGGGCCAGCAGCCGCGGUAAUAC